GACGAACGCUGGCGGCGUGCUUAACACAUGCAAGUCGUACGGUAAGGCCCUUCCGGGGUUCCCCGGUGGGGGAGCGGUUGGGUAACAAGUAAGUAACUUGCCCACACUUUUGGGUUAACGCAGGGAAACUGGUGCUAUUCCUGAAUAGUUGCGCUUUCUGCCUGGUGGGGGUGGGAAGGCUCCGGGGGUUUGGGAUGGAUUGGCGGCCUAUCAGUUUGUUGGUGGGGUAGGGGCCUACCAAGGCGGGGACGGGUGGCCGGCCUGGGAGGGUGACCGGCCAAAUUGGGAAUGGGAUACGGCCCAGACUCCUACGGGAGGCAGCAGUGGGGAAUAUUGCACAAUGGGCGCAAGCCUGAUGCAGCAACGCCGCGGGCGGGAUGACGGCCUUCGGGUUGUAAACCGCUUUCAGCAGGGACGAAGCUGUUUGUGACGGUACCUGCAGAAGAAGCACCGGCUAACUACGUG
rnacentral:rRNA from 1 species